rnacentral:rRNA from 1 species
UACGGAGGGUGCAAGCGUUUAAUCGGAAUUACUGGGCGUAAAGCGUGCGUAGGCGGUUCGUUAAGUCUGUUGUGAAAGCCCCGGGCUCAACCUGGGAAUGGCAAUGGAUACUGGCGAGCUAGAGUGUGUCAGAGGAUGGUGGAAUUCCCGGUGUAGCGGUGAAAUGCGUAGAGAUCGGGAGGAACAUCAGUGGCGAAGGCGGCCAUCUGGGACAACACUGACGCUGAGGCACGAAAAGCGUGGGGGAGCAAACAG